UCGAUCUUGGCCACCCGUGCCGCUCUCAUGGCGUUAGCGGCGGGAGGGAGGACGCCGGUGCCGCGGCGACUUGAGGAUGGCGAACGGGGCGAGGCUGCGGCCACCGCGUCGUCUUCUUGAGGUGCGGCAACAGCUGGAGCUUGUGGCUACUCCACCCACGGUGACAGCCGCGUGCGGCGGCCCGAUGCGCUUGGUAAGCUCGUUCCCCAUCCUUAGGAUUUCAAGAUUUGGGGAUUUUUGUUUCGGCAUUGGGGAAAAUUGGGGAUUUUUGCUAGGGUUAGCGGAAUUGAGAUUUUCCACUAGGGUGUGUCUUAGAAUUUGUAAAUUCCCCUGACCGAUUUGCAUCCGUGAUAAUCGUUAGGGUUAACCGUCAGGCAGUUGACACUUCAUAUUAUGUGACGAUCAUUCACAUGACGCAGUUAUGGUUUGAAUAUAAUCAUUAGACAUGAUAAUUAGGUGCUAACAGAACCACUUCAGAUCUUCAUUACCAUCAAAUGGCAUAAGACCAAAACGAUUUUUCCCUGACAUAAGCCUUUUAACAUUGAGCAAGGUCUAAUUAGGCUUGUAAUUAUAGGCUAGUAGCUUGGGUACCAAUGUUAGAUUUCGUGUAUUACGCUUAACAUAAUUAUGAUCUAACCCUGACAAUUAGAACACCACAUUACUACAUUAAAUAGUAGGAGGAGGCGUUUUGUUCUCACCGGCUAUACGGCGAGGUCUUGUGCCUGCUCGAUGCAUGCGUGGUGAAGGUUCGGUGUAGCCGCGGUGAUAUAGGAGCAGCAGCAGGGUCCAAGAGCCUCACUGGCAUGACCCUCGCGGCAGCCGGUGGUGGAGAUGCUGCAGGGAAGAGGUAGGGAUGCAUGAGCGCCACCAGCACUGACCUCGUGUUGGCCAACAGGAGUAGACAGACGUCUUGCUGAUCCCCUUUAGUGCUCUACUGCUCUUUUAGGACCAGUGGUUCAGUAUAGAGUGUUUAACCCAUGUAUGUAUCUGUAUUCCAGAGGGGCACGACCUCCCCCUUCUAUUUGUGGCAUCAAGGGUCCAGGGUCCUAAACCAUCGUUGGUUAUGGGUGCCCCGAUCAAAGCACAAACGUUAGAGGAGACUUUGUCCCCUGUUUUUUCUUGGCUUAUUAUAUGGUUAGAUCAUUUCUGGCAGUUGAUUUACAUGGACACACAUCAUGUUAGCAUUGAGCCCGCUUGGCGUUGAUCAAGUCACUGAUACACCAGAGCCCGCAUGUGACUAGCUGAAAAGUCUUUCGUGCAUGAAGCUGAUGGAUUUUGCUGAUCGAUUCUUCCCGAGUUAGUUAUUUUGGUGGGAAGGACCUAUAGAAGCUAGACAUGCACAGAAACUGGCUAACAAACAGAUUGAUUGAUUUUUGGUGCAGCUAGCAGAAUUUGCUGCUUUUCUGUCUCUUUUUACUUUAUUAUCGGCGUAUCAGUUACAAGGCUAGUGCUUACUGAGUACUGACUCGGCGGCCAACACAUCUAUACAGCAGCACAACUCAACAGGACACCAACUCGAAUAGUAAUCUGGACGAAAUGCCAAAAUAAAAUUGCUAAUUUAAUACUACUCGAUCAGACACUUGGACGACAGAAUCUACUUAUGCAAAGUGAUGUGCACUUUAUUUCUAACACAUCAUAGAUAUCUUGUUUUGGAUCCAAGAAUAAGCUCCGUGUACUAUAUCAAACAUCAAACUCUUUUUUUUGGGUUGGUAGCAUGCAUACUGCUGCAUCAUGCCACUUAGCUUCAUCAAGCAACCGAUAGAAGCAUCUGCACAACAUUUUCCAUGGUGGGCCUUUUUCUACCAUCUUCUUCCACGCAUGAAACAGCCAGCUUGACCAUCAUUCUCGCUUGCAAGUUAUCGAACUGGCUGUUCAACCUCAAGUCAAUGAAGUCAGCCACCCAUAACUGUUGGCUGCCCUCCAGCUCCAGCAUCAGAUUUUCUGUAAGCAUCCUAACGACCCUUCCAAGGACUGUCUCCACUUCCUCGUUGGCAUUUGAUGCCCAGUCUGAAACACGAGCCCCCUUGAGUAGUUCUAGGAGAACCACUCCGAAGCUGUAGACAUCUACCUUUGCUGUUAUUGGAUGGCCAGAAACCCACUCAGGAGCUAUGUAACCUCUAGUUCCACGGACCCUCGAUACAUUUUUAUUGGAUCCACCUCUGUUCAAAAGUUUUGCAAGGCCAAAGUCGGUGAUCUUUGGCUCCAAGUUUUCAUCCAACAGUAUAUUCUCAGGCUUCAGGUCACAAUGGAUAACCCAUUCCAAGCACUCAUGAUGAAGAUAGGCCAAUCCUUUUGCCACCCCUAGGGCAACCUUAAAUCUUUGGUUCCAUUCGAGUAAGAUCUGUGGGGCCUUGCUACUAAACAGGGUUUUAUCCAACGAAGCAUUCUCAACGUACUCUAAGACCAAUAUCCUGUGUGGACCAUCAGAACAGAACCCCCAAACCCUCACCAGAUUCAUAUGGUAAAUCUUUCCAAUCACACUCAAUUCAUGCUGGAAUUCUUCUUCGCCUUGGUUUAUGUCUGCCAACCUUUUCACCGCUACUACCCUCUUGUCUUUCAAGACCCCCUUGUAUACAAUACCAGAUGCCCCGCAUCCAAUCUGGUCCUUGAACUUUCGAGUUGCCCUCUGCAACUCCUUGUAAGUGUAUCUGCGGAAAUGGUUAGUUAUCAUUUCAUAGCCAACCUCAGCUGGCCAUACUCCUGUUAACUGCUUGCCCUCCCUUCUCAACACAAACCAGCAUCCGAAUGCCACAAAUAUUACCUCUACACAAAAUAUCGCUGCCAAGAAUACAUACAAGUACAAGUACUGUGGGUGUGAUCCACUCUGACUGCUCUUAGGUUGAUCCAGAAAAUCUGUAGUGAAAAUUUUGUUCUUUGCACUACAGUUAGGAGCAUAUCUAUGACCAAAAGGUUGUGAGUGAGGAAUUGAGGACUCUGAGACCUGUGUCUUAGGAAGCUUGAGAUAGAUAGAACGACCCAAACCCAGGCUGGUUACACCACCAACAAGGGACGACUUCGGAAAGCAACUUCCACUUCCUUGCCAGUAUGAGAAACCUUUGCAAUUGCAGUUGUUCAAGCAUAUCUUCUUGCAUGUAUGAAAUGAAACUGAGGUACUGCUACUUUGAUCAUUACCUCGGAAGUCAGUGUUGUGUAGCUUCACAAACAUCUCCUGCCCAUCACAACUGAGAUUGAAUUUUGGCCUGCAACCUUUGCUCCGGUCCCUUUGGUCAAUGAUCUCAUGUCCAGGGGCACAUGCACAAGCUGGCCUAGGUGUAUACACACAUAUUCCAUUCAUACCACAGAGACCACGUAUAGAGCAGGUCCGAGGAUAUGCCAUCCAUGUGACCGACCAUCUUCCAUCUGACUUAUUUAGACUGUAUAAUCUAAGGUUGCCAUCAUAAUUCAAUGUUAGCCUCCUCAUAACCUUGAGACCCCAGUCAGUCGCCUUAAAUGUUAAAUUGUCACUUCCAAGGAAAUAACCUGAGCUAUCUAGGACCCCAAUUGUGGUGGUAUUAAACGAGCUUCUUUGCUUUUCCCAGAUAUUCUUAUUAGGAUCUGGCCAAUAGAUAAAAGAGAUAUCCGUCUGAUCAUAAAACAGUGUGAGUAAAUGUUGAUCAUCAAAAUGGAAGCUGUAGCGCCCAGGAACAAGUAACCUAUUAGCAGAUACCAAUUUUGUAGCAGAAGUAAUGUUCUGAUUUGGCAGCAAUGUAUCAGUAGGAGAAUCAAAACUUUGCCACAAAAUGAUAUCACCUUGGCCCUUCAUGAUGAGGUUCCCGGUGUCCAACAACUGGACUUGUUCGGCUUUUGAUGAAGAGCUGACAUUGGUUUCCCACACGGCCUGGCCAUUGUAAUCUUUUACAACCAUUCCGCCAUCCGCAUAUAGCAUGACUAUGGAUCCCCAGGAGUACACGGGGUGGAGAUGAUUUGCACUCCAGACGACAGUCUUUUCAUGAGCUGUGUUGGAGAACCAAAUAGAGAAAACGAAGGCACUCCCAGAAAUAUUGUUGAAGCCGCAGGUGAAAGUACCAUCUGGUGAAUGGAGCACGUCAGAGCUAUCCUCUACGGAGAGAGAGGAGCCUGGCGAGAGGAAUUCACGAGCCGAGAUCCGCAAAAACAGAUGAAUCAGAUUUAGAAGAAGCAGAGAGGUAGAGUGUAUUUCCAUAUUUGUUGAGGCACUCUAGUUGAUCUUUAGAAUGUACACAAAUGGAUGCUACUCAGCUACUGUAUAUAGGAACCAACUAGAGGAAGCAAUAUACUUCUAUAAUUCAAUACGACACUGAUAGGUGCUUGUCCUUUUGUUGAGGGUGAUAAUUUGCUCUUGUUUGUCAACCAGUCAAUCAAUGGUUAGCUGUAAUGUCUUUGUUUCUUAAAUAUGCGCGUUGUAGAAUUAUCUUUUAUUUCAGCUGGAUGAUGUAUACUCCUGAAAUAAGGUCCAGACUCCCAAGACAUCAUUCAAUUUGGGCCACUCAUUGCUUAAUCUGACCAUCCAUUACAUAGUAGAUAAGUCAAAAAAACAUACCCCUACUUGUUUCAAACUUCCAAUUGUGUGGUGACAACGAUUUGGCUACUCCCUCAGUUCACUAUUAUAAGAUGUUCUACUCCAUCCGAUCUAUAUUAAUUGUCGUUGAUUUAGUACAACUUUGUACUAAAUCAGCGACAAUUAAUAUGGAACUGAGUAAAAAAAUUUGAUUUGGAUGUAUAUAGACGCAUUUUAGUGUGUUUGUUCACUCAUUUCAUUCCGUAUAUAGUCCAUACUGAAAUAUCCAAAACAUCUUACAUGUGUGAACGGAGGGAGUAUUUCCUACAAAGGUUGCUGGCCAGGUCCACAUUUCUUCAUGUCACUUUCUCUCGAUCGCUUCUUGUCCGUCUCUUGAAUGGCAACUUGUUCUAUUCAGUCAACAAUUCAACUAUAUUGAAGUCUUUGUCUUUCAGGGCUUCCGGAUGGCUGAUGUAUACUCCUGCAAUAAAGCUUUUGGGGUAUGAUUCGAGCCACUCGUGCUUCAGCCAAUCAUCCAUCGUACAGCUGGCAAGUGAAAUAAGUCUCUAUUAUUUCAACAGUUGGCUGCUAUCGGAAAGAAACCGUAAACUUGGCAACAUAUGGACUUCAGCGGUGCAGACAGACGGAGAAGUCUUCAUUUUUUCAAAAGAAACUGACAUCUGACGAUAACAGUAAUGAGAAUUCAAACGUUGAACAUUGAAACCUGGAAAAUAACAGUUGUUGGUUCAUGCAUUUGCAGCACAUGAUUCACAGGAAUAAUUAGCAUCAGACUGGAGAUUUCCUUACUAGUAUAGUUUUCAUUUUUCUCAUUAGUAUUUGUUUAGACUGUAUGGUCGCCUGCGACAUAGAAUAGAGAUAAAAGCAUUAGUAAAGGCUCAUUCAUUGAAAAUCAAAAUCAUAGAGACAGGAAAAGAAAAUGAGUUUCUAUCAUCUCCCAAUUAUUAGCAGUGGCAUUUCAGAAAACGAAUUUGUGCAUAGCAUCCUUUUGAGAUUCAACUAAUUGAUC
rnacentral:lncRNA from 1 species